GGAUAUGUGUUUCAGCCUCGUGAAUUCUUAAACAACGUUCAAGCGUUUAGAAUUCAAGAAUUCCCUUUCAGUCUAGCAAGUUUACUUAGGCUAUUCUUGGACGAGUCCAUCUUGUCACACGUUCACAACCCCGAGGGAAGGAAGGUGGGAGACCUGGUCACGUCCAAAUUAUCCUGGAAGUAUAAUUGCUCAUCAUGCAACCAGUUUUCCCACGUCAGAGCUGCAGAAACGGUAAUAUCUCUUCAGGCUUACACAGACAAGCCGUUUACGCAACAUUUUCAAGGAAAACAAAC